GACGAACGCUGGCGGCGUGCCUAACACAUGCAAGUCGAACGAGAACGGAAUAUAGCUUGCUAUAUUUGUCAGCUAAGUGGCGCACGGGUGAGUAAUGUAUAGAUAACCUGCCCUUAAGAAAGGAAUAACAGUUGGAAACGACUGCUAAUGCCCUAUAUGCCUUUAAUACAUAGGUAUGCAAGGGAAACGCUUUAGUGCUUAAGGAUGGGUCUGUAUGGUAUCAGCUUGUUGGUGAGGUAAUGGCUAACCAAGGCUAUGACGCCUAACUGGUUUGAGAAGAUGAUGAGUCACACUGGAACUGAGACACGGUCCAGACUCCUACGGGAGGCAGCAGUGGGGAAUAUUGCACAAUGGACGAAAGUCUGAUGCAGCAACGCCGCGUGGAGGAUGACACAUUUCGGUGCGUAAACUCCUUUUAUAUAGGAAGAUAAUGACGGUACUAUAUGAAUAAGCACCGGCUAACUCCGUGCCAGCCGCCGCAGUAA
rnacentral:rRNA from 1 species